UCACAGAGGUCGCCCUAUUGAGAUAUUUUAUAGAUCUUUGUUUAUUUUUAUUGAAAAUUUUAAUUGCGUGAAACACAUUCUUCAAAGUAUUAUUAAGUUAAAAUGUGAGCUCCGUAAACUAAGAGCGGUUACAACUGGUAAAAAACUGCUUUAGUUGAAUGGCUGGAGGCAUGCUAUAGGAACAACUUCAUUGGAACAGAUGAGGAGUUAGACGAUGAUAUUUCAGAUUUUCCAACCCUGGAUAGGUUAAGAGACGUUAACGCUAGCACCUUAUACAUAAAAGACAAAACCAAAAGAAAAAUUGCCUUUAAUUAACUUAAAGAAUUGUACAUAAUAAAGUGACAAUAUAUUAUAUUUGACAAGAUAAAGGAAUAGUUAAUUUUUUUCAUAAAUUAUACCUCAUUCACCCCCUGUGAAAUUCUAAGAUCCGAGCUUAGAGUUCGAUCUUUAGAGUCAUGAAAACAUCUACAAUGUCUUCUUGUUCUUUCUGACUUUCUGUAUUUGAGACAUUUAAUUCUUCUAUACUUUGUUUGAUUGACAUACACUUAUAUUGAAAUAAGGGAUUGGAGCUAAAUUUCGAGUUUUAUUUUAUUUUAUUAAGGACCAUCAGCAGUCAACAAUCUUUAUUGUAAUAAUAAAACAAACACAUUCAGCUAACAGCUUGCAUAAAAUGUGCGACUCUUCAAGACGGCCACAACAUGCAUUUUAAGUUACCAAAUCACAAUAAAAAAAAUUUAAGAGGCAAAAGGAGAAAGGAAGCAAGGAAAAUAUUUAUUAUGAUUAAAGUAUUUUAAUAGUAUAACAGGUAUAGUAUUCAACAGCUGCACUAAGCAUUGCGUAAAAAAUACUUAUUAUAGUGUAAACAAUAUUAUGUUAAUUUCUAUAAUUACAGAUACAAUUAUUUGUAUUAGACAUUGUCACCAUUCGUAUGUGAGGUCACAUACAAACUAGAUAUAGUUUGCCUUUCAUACAACACAACACAUUUUGUUUUGUUCUUUCUACGUGCUAUCAUUAUACGUCAAUAUUAAUCUAGUUCAGCUACUAUACAUUUAUAUAUUUUCUAAAUUUAAAUAAAUCAUAUUUCUCUAUUAUCUUUAUAAUAUCAAUUUGUUUUAUAUAAUACAUACAGCUCUUAAGCAAGCGACACUCAACCUUAUUAAAAAAUUGUAAUAUAUAUAUAUAUUAAACUUUUCCUAAAAAGACAUCUUAAAGUUAUAUAGUUAUUGCUAUUACAUGAGUUCUAAAUAUUUACAUAGUACCUAAGCAAAUUCGAUGGGACUAACAUAUUGCUAUCUCUGUCUUAUUGAUGAGGUGAAAAUUCUGUCAAAUAGAAAGUCCCAUCAAAUUAUUUGAAAAAAAGAAGUUUUUAAUUUGUUGUAACUAUCAUUGUGACUGGUCAAGGCAAUAUGUGUCAAUACAUCUUUCUUGAAGCCAAACAUCCCGUUCUAUAAUUAUACCACACAGCUAUUUUUACAUUUAAUAAUAAAUAAAUUUAAAUAAUGAACAAUAUAAUAUACAUGAUUACAUGUAUGAUACACAGCAUUGCAACU